rnacentral:rRNA from 1 species
GAACGCUGGCGGCGUGCUUAACACAUGCAAGUCGAGUGCGCAUCCGUAGCAAUACGGAUGGCGCACGGCGCACGGGUGAGUAACACGUGGGCAAUCUGCCCUCGGAUGGGGGAUAACUCGCCGAAAGGCGAGCUAAUACCGCAUGACAUUCCGGAGACCACGGUCUCCGGAUUCAAAGGCCGCAAGGCCGUCUGAGGAGGAGCCCGCGCCCGAUUAGCUAGUUGGUGAGGUAACGGCUCACCAAGGCUUUGAUCGGUAGCCGGUCUGAGAGGAUGGCCGGCCACACUGGAACUGAGACACGGUCCAGACUCCUACGGGAGGCAGCAGUGGGGAAUAUUGCGCAAUGGGCGAAAGCCUGACGCAGCGACGCCGCGUGGGGGAUGAAGCUUUUCGGAGUGUAAACCCCUUUCGACCCGGACGAAUGACCCGCAAGGGUUUGACGGUACGGGUAUAAGAAGCCCCGGCUAACUACGUGCCAGCAGCCGCGGUAAUACGUAGGGGGCCAGCGUUGCUCGGAAUUACUGGGCGUAAAGGGUUCGUAGGUGGUGCGGCAAGUUGGGAGUGAAAUCUCUGGGCUUAACCCAGAGGCUGCUUUCAAAACUGCCGUGCUCGAGUGCGAGAGAGGUCAGUGGAAUUGCAGGUGUAGCGGUGAAAUGCGUAGAUAUCUGCAGGAACACCCGUGGCGAAGCGGCUGACUGGAUCGCAACUGACACUGAGGAACGAAAGCUAGGGGA